rnacentral:misc_RNA from 1 species
GCUUGCGCAACAACUUCCACCUGGCCUACCUCUUCAGUUAUCUGUCAAGGCUAUUAUUGCCUAGGCGGAAUGCGGGUUUCCUGUGUUGCCUACCUAAGUGACGGUAUUGUCCUGGUCGAUGAUUGUCCCUUAUCGUCUUGUGUUAUACUCAUGACACUAGAUGAUCCUCAAAGCCGUCUCUUUGAACCAUAGCAUUGCUUGUUAAUGUUGUGGAACAYUGAGCAUUGCUCGGUCUCUUGAAUACGGAACGUGAUGUGGGCAUGGGGUCAUUUGAGAUCCUUGUUUUGCCCUCACUAWGCGUUGUCGCUUCCCUUGAAAACGACUUCCCGACGCGCAUUGGCUUGUACCAGCGUGUCGGGUCAAGUCAAAGAGGAUUGC